AACUAUCUUUAUCAUAUCGUGUUUAUUGAAUCUCCACAUCAAAUCGACUCUUUCUAAUUUGCUUUGUAAAAUCUUUUAACUACUUUUGAUAAAUCAUGGGGGAAGUUUCUAACUUCCUCCAUUUUGCAUGAAAAAAAACCACACUUUCUCAUUGCUAUCAAUUGAUUUAGUAUUUCAUUCUAGUAAUAUCUGUUGUUUAGUUAGGAAGAAUUCCUUCAACUAAAUUGGGCAAAGGGAUUAAUAAUAUUAGG
rnacentral:lncRNA from 1 species